GCAGCAGGGGUAGCAAUACUCGCUGGCGACCGGCAAACGGGUGCGGAACACGUACACAACCUUCCUUCAAGCGGGGAAUAGCCCAGAGAAAUUUGGAUUAAUACCCCAUAACAUAUAGAGUAGGCAUCUACUCGAUAUUAAAGCUUCGGCACUUGAUGAUGGGUGUGCGUCUGAUUAGAUAGUUGGUGAGGUAACGGCUCACCAAGUCUACGAUCAGUAGCUGAUGUGAGAGCAUGAUCAGCCACACGGGCACUGANANACGGGCCCGACUCCUACGGGAGGCAGCAGUAAGGAAUAUUGGUCAAUGGACGAAAGUCUGAACCAGCCAUGCCGCGUGAAGGAUUAAGGUCCUCUGGAUUGUAAACUUCUUUUAUAGGGGACGAAAAAAGGGCAUUCUUGCUCACUUGACGGUACUCUAUGAAUAAGCACCGGCUAACUCCGUGCCAGCAGCCGCGGUAAUACGGAGGGUGCAAGCGUUAUCCGGAUUCACUGGGUUUAAAGGGUGCGUAGGCGGGUAGGUAAGUCAGUGGUGAAAUCUCGAAGCUUAACUUCGAAACUGCCAUUGAUACUAUCUAUCUUGAAUAUUGUGGAGGUUUGCGGAAUAUGUCAUGUAGCGGUGAAAUGCUUAGAUAUGACAUAGAACACCUAUUGCGAAGGCAGCAGGCUACACAUAUAUUGACGCUGAGGCACGAAAGCGUGGGGAUCAAACAGGAUUAGAUACCCCCGUAGUCC
rnacentral:rRNA from 1 species